GCCGGGUUGGUGAAAUUGGCAGACACGCCAGACUUAGGAUCUGGUGGCCUUAACGGCUGUGCAGGUUCGAGUCCUGUACCCGGCA
rnacentral:tRNA from 1 species